GACGAACGCUGGCGGCGUGCCUAAUACAUGCAAGUAGAACGCUGAAGCGAGGAGCUUGCUCUUCUUGGAUGAGUUGCGAACGGGUGAGUAACGCGUAGGUAACCUGCCUUGUAGCGGGGGAUAACUAUUGGAAACGAUAGCUAAUACCGCAUAACAAUGGAUGACACAUGUCAUUUAUUUGAAAGGGGCAAUUGCUCCACUACAAGAUGGACCUGCGUUGUAUUAGCUAGUAGGUGAGGUAAUGGCUCACCUAGGCGACGAUACAUAGCCGACCUGAGAGGGUGAUCGGCCACACUGGGACUGAGACACGGCCCAGACUCCUACGGGAGGCAGCAGUAGGGAAUCUUCGGCAAUGGGGGCAACCCUGACCGAGCAACGCCGCGUGAGUGAAGAAGGUUUUCGGAUCGUAAAGCUUUGUUGUAAGUCAAGAACGGGUGUGAGAGUGGAAAGUUCACACUGUGACGGUAGCUUACCAGAAAGGGACGGCUAACUACGUG
rnacentral:rRNA from 1 species